rnacentral:rRNA from 1 species
AACGCGAAGAACCUUACCUGGGCUCGAAAUGCAGUGGACCGGGGUGGAAACAUCCCUUCCCGCAAGGGUCGCUGUAUAGGUGCUGCAUGGCUGUCGUCAGCUCGUGUCGUGAGAUGUUGGGUUAAGUCCCGCAACGAGCGCAACCCUUAUUGUCAGUUGCCAUCAGGUCAAGCUGGGCACUCUGGCGAAACCGCCUCGGAUAACGGGGAGGAAGGUGGGGAUGACGUCAAGUCAGCACGGCCUUUAUGUCCAGGGCUACACACGUGUUACAAUGCACGGUACAGACUGUUGCGAACCCGCGAGGGGGAGCCAAUCGGAUAAAACCGUGCUCAGUUCGGAUUGCAGUCUGCAACUCGACUGCAUGAAGCUGGAAUCGCUAGUAAUGACGUAUCAGAUCGACGCCGUGAAUACGUUCCCGGGCCUUGUACACACCGACGCGUA